rnacentral:rRNA from 1 species
UACGUAGGGACCGAGCGUUGUCCGGAAUCAUUGGGCGUAAAGAGCGUGUAGGCGGCUAUUUAAGUCCUGCGUGAAAUCCUGCGGUUCAACCGCAGACGGUCGUGGGAAACUGGAUGGCUAGAGUGCGGGAGAGGAGAGUGGAAUUCCCGGUGUAGCGGUGAAAUGCGCAGAUAUCGGGAAGAACACCCGUGGCGAAGGCGGCUCUCUGGAACGCAACUGACGUUGAGACGCGAAAGCUAGGGGAGCGAACAGG